GUCGUGGGUUCGAACCGAUCCGAAGCAGCGCCAAGGAGCGAGACGAGAGCAAUGGCGGCGCCGUGGACGGGAGCGGAGCCACUGCUGUCGAGGCUGUCGGCUUGGAUGACCUUCGUCGUCUACCCGUCUGCCGUCGUCGCCUACUGCCUCACCGUCAAAGACGAUAAAACUCCGAAGAAGCAAAACAGUUCCCCUUCUUCCUCCUCUAAAUAGUCCCCCGCUCCUCCGGCUCAGGCUAUUCAUUUAAAGAUAGAUAGAAGAACUUUGUAAGAUUUCAAGCAGAGUUCCAUUCGGGAUGCUUUAUAUUAAUAACACAAUGUGUUUGCUUAAUCACUUUUAAUCUUGUGAACGAAGUAGUAGUUUGUAAUUUGUUGAAGCAUAGGGAAUUAUUCGGUGAUGUCCUAAACUUUUUAUGAAUACUGAAAAAAUAAUCAAACCUCAGCUUUCGCCUGUUGAUCA